rnacentral:rRNA from 1 species
GACGAACGCUGGCGGCGUGCCUAAUACAUGCAAGUAGAACGCUGAAGGAGGAGCUUGCUUCUCUGGAUGAGUUGCGAACGGGUGAGUAACGCGUAGGUAACCUGCCUGGUAGCGGGGGAUAACUAUUGGAAACGAUAGCUAAUACCGCAUAAGAUUGACUAUUGCAUGAUAGUCAGUUAAAAGGUGCAAUUGCAUCACUACCAGAUGGACCUGCGUUGUAUUAGCUAGUUGGUGGGGUAACGGCUCACCAAGGCGACGAUACAUAGCCGACCUGAGAGGGUGAUCGGCCACACUGGGACUGAGACACGGCCCAGACUCCUACGGGAGGCAGCAGUAGGGAAUCUUCGGCAAUGGACGGAAGUCUGACCGAGCAACGCCGCGUGAGUGAAGAAGGGUUUCGGAUCGUAAAGCUCUGUUGUAGGAGAAGAACGAGUGUGAGAGUGGAAAGUUCACACUGUGACGGUAUCUUACCAGAAAGGGACGGCUAACUACGUG